AAACGGAAUAUGUCACCGACGGAGACGCAGAUUCCCUAGCAGGAUGCAUGCUGGCCGGCACACGCCUCGGAGCGCGAAAGGGGCCUGUGAUCCUGCGGUGCUUACGUGCUUCACGCGUGUGUGCGGAAGCACGGAGGAGCCCGUGGGGAGCAUGGCGCACUGCCACUCUGCACAUGUGGGCUGGCCGUGUGCGGGGACACGUGUGUCCCUGUGUGCACACACCCAGAGCCCAUCCCGGCAGCCCGGAGACGGCUCCUUUCCCUUGUACAGCUGGAGACUCCGGAAGGAGGAGGCGGGUCGGGCUGGCCUCCUGCUUGGUGAGGGCUUCCGUGACUUCUGCUGUCGCCCCGUGGCCUCCGUCUCCAGAGCAGGUGGAGCAAGGAGGCUGUCUGCUUGCCCCCUGGACCCAGCAGACAUAUUCCCAGAGACAGCUGGAAAUAUCAUUGUGAUGUGGAAUGCUGGAGAUGGGACAGGAGCCACACAGACCCAGCUUUACCCUCUGGAACUCACAGCGUCCUGGCAGCCGGCAGAGAGAGAGAGAGAGGGCCAGCAAACAACUCCACGAGGGAGUCCCGCGAUAACAUGCGAGAAAGACAGAACACCAGAGGAGAGAAAAAGGCCCUUUGGCAUCCCUGUCCAGUGCAUGGGAUUGUGGGGGCUUGGAGGCAUCCUGUGGCUGGGCUGCAGGAGUUCCCAGCCAGACCUGGUCCCCUGGGGAACGGGGUCCGGGAGGCCUGGUUUGCUGUGAGCCCACCUCCACAACCCACCUGGCCAAUGAGCGGAAGCCUGAGCUGGGGUUCAGGGACCCAUCCGUGGAGUCGGCCCUGGGGGAGGGCUUCCCACGUGGCACCCCACUGGGGCCCUCUCCCAAGCCCUCACCCCUCCCUCCCAGGCUCUGGAAACCUCUUGCUGUCCCCCCAAGUUAGUGUCCAGGACUGCUGUCACAAAU
rnacentral:lncRNA from 1 species